rnacentral:rRNA from 1 species
GUGGGGAAUCUUGCGCAAUGGGCGAAAGCCUGACGCAGCCAUGCCGCGUGAAUGAUGAAGGUCUUAGGAUUGUAAAAUUCUUUCACCGGGGACGAUAAUGACGGUACCCGGAGAAGAAGCCCCGGCUAACUUCGUGCCAGCAGCCGCGGUAAUACGAAGGGGGCUAGCGUUGCUCGGAAUUACUGGGCGUAAAGGGCGCGUAGGCGGACAGUUUAGUCAGAGGUGAAAGCCCAGGGCUCAACCUUGGAAUUGCCUUUGAUACUGGCUGUCUUGAGAACGGGAGAGGUGAGUGGAACUCCGAGUGUAGAGGUGAAAUUCGUAGAUAUUCGGAAGAACACCAGUGGCGAAGGCGACUCACUGGCCCGUUACUGACGCUGAGGCGCGAAAGCGUGGGGAGCAAACAGGAUUAGAAACCCGAGUAGUCC